ensembl:lncRNA novel transcript
GGAGCUCCAGCCUGCCCCUCCUGACGCUCUCAGAGUCUGGCCUUCUGCUGGGCCCCGGGUCUCUCACUGGCAGAAUGGAGUUCUCGGAGCUGAUCCAUACGGGCUGAGCCCAAGCAGAGUUUCUACGGGGCCCGGAGGCGCCCCCGCUUCGCGGCACGGUGUGAGUCACCGUCCACCACCUGCUCCUGUCGCCAGGGCCCGCGUCCUCUCCGGACCUGUGGCUGCUGCUGUUGCGUAGCGUCGACUCCUUCGAGAAGCAGUGAGACGUGGCGGGGUGGGGGAGGGUCCCCGGGGUUGGGGAGCGCGCGGCUUGGCGGAGUAGGGGGCACGGCCAGCGCAGUCAGAGCUGGCGCCCUCCUGCGUAAGCCCAAUCCGGGAAACUCGUUGCCCCUCUCCUGGGAAAGGAACGUCCCUCCCCAGGGUUGCGAGUGACUCGGGCACCAUCACCCUGUGCUGUAAAGACCUGCGAGUGCUGCAGCUGGAAAUAGAGGGCGCGGAAGCGACGCUGGGCAUCGCCCGCUCCAUCGAGACCAACGCGUGGCGGCUGAGCGAGGUGAACGAGGACUUCAGCUUGUGCCCCAGAUACCCCCGUGCGGUGAUCGUGCCAUACUUGGUGGACGAUGAUGCCCUGGCGCGCAGCGCCCGCUUCCGUCAGGGAGGUCGCUUCCCGGUGCUCAGCUACCACCCGGCUCCCAGCGGCAGAGGGAGCGCGCCCUCCCCACGCUCCGCCCCUGGGUGGCUGCGUCCUUUCUGGGCCUUUUCUUUUUGGCCCGGUCAAUUCGCGGCGUAGCCGCUGCCCCAACUCCUGCCCCAUUCUGGUCCCGCCCCUCUCCCGCCUUUUCGCUGGGAAGGGUAUCACCUUUCUCUGGCCCCGCCCCUGACGGUUCCGGGCCCCGCGAAGCUUAGUCCCUUCUUUGUCAAGCCAGGACCCGCCCACGGUCUAUUCAUAGGGUCCCAAACCACUUUGGCCACAACACCCCCAGACUGGUCCGAAGCCUCGUGAGUUCGCCCUGGUCGUUGCACUCCAGCCUGUCGCUGUGCAGACCUGGCUUAGAGGACCCCUAAGGCUGAGGGGUCACUUCCAGAACUGAGUCCGGUCCGCAGGUUCUGCUACGCUCCAGCCAGCCCCUAACUGGUCCCCAGAAGCGGCGCUGCUACAGGGACCAGGAGCUGCUGCGAACUGCGCUGGCGGGGGCUCGUCCUUGGGCGCGGGGCUUCAUCAUGGACACGCUCUCGGCCCAGGCCGCGAAACAAGCCCGCGUGACUGGCGGAGGCACAGAGACCAAGGCCGCUUAACCUGGCUGGUUGCACUGGUCCCUGGAGAGCACUGAGCACAGGGGCUGCCACAGUGGCCGGCUCAGACAUGGCAGAGAUCAGCAGAGAAUGGGCAAUCAGGCUCCCCUGAGAUGAGCAGCAGCGCAGAGGAGGUGCCCCUCUCUUACUACACCAACUUCAGAGGGCGUCCCCUGCAGGAGAGCUUCAUGCGCCUGGUGGAGGCCUGUGGGGACUCGGAGCAAAGCAUGGACAACUGGCUGAGUCGGCUGGACGGCUGCCGCUGACUGUAACAUGUAAAGCAGGCACUGAGCACCACCUGCCUGGCAGUCCAGGGCAUGGAGAGGCACAGACAGCACCCUGCUUGUGACUUCACUGGCCCAACUCAUCCUGGACCCCUUGAGCAAGACCAUGGCUGGAUUCCAGGAACUGGUGGAGUGGAAGUGGAUCCAGGAAAGCCAGCCACCCCUUCCAGCUGCGCUGUGCCCAUUCAGCCUUCUCCCAUGCCCACCCCAAGCAUGAGGCACCCACCUUUCUCCUCUUCCUGGACUGCGUGUGGCAGCUGGGCUGCCGGUUCCCACUGUCAUUGGAGUUUGGGGAAGGGCUACUGUUGGCGCUGUUUGGGCACGCCUAUGCCUCCUCUUUUGGCACCUUCCUCUGCAACAGCGAAAAGGAGAGAUGCCGUGUGAAGGGAGGACUCAGAUGCACUCCCUGUGGUCUGGGCUCAACCAGCCAAAAGAGCAACAAAGACUCCAGAACCCACUCUACCUCCUCAAUCCCUUGGCCAUCUGUGGAGCCCCAGAGCCUGCGGCUGUGGCAAGGCCUGUUUCUGCGCUGGACCUGCUCACCUGAGCCUGCAGAAGCUGCAUGGGGGAAGAGUGUGGCAAAUAGUGACAGGAAGGGAGAAGACAGAAGCCUCUCAGCCAACUGCUUCAGCCGAGCCCCUAUUCUAAGCACUGGCUCCUUGGAUAGCAGCUGAGAUGUUCCUGAAACCUCUGCAGGCCCCUUAGGACCUUUACACCUUGGAUGAGGGUGCCUGCAACCCAGGUUAGCCAAAAGUACUGAGGGUCUUAAGUUUGAAGUGUCCAAAGUAUAGGGAGGUCUCAAUAAUAAAAGUCUCCAUGAUCA